GCCUUGAUAGCUCAGCUGGUUAGAGCCUGCUGCUAAUAAUGCCAAGGUUGCAGGUUCGAUCCCUGUUUGGGGCA